rnacentral:rRNA from 1 species
AUGAGGAGGCGGCGCUGGGCGCGCGCCGCCGCCCUAUGCCUCGCCAUUGCCGUCCUGCUGCAGCUCGCUGUCGCCCACGGCGCGGGCGCCUGGGCGGCCAGGAUGCCGGCCUUCUCCACGCGCGCGCGCGGCCGCGCUGCGCAGAGGUGGCCCUCGAUGCCCGUGCACCACGCUGUGCCCAAGCCCAGUCCAAGAGCCGGCGCCCGCGCGGUCGCGUUCGACGCCACCGCCACCGCUGCGGCCGCCCGGUGCAAUAGCAAGAGCAAGACCAGCGCGGCGUGGAAGCGGAAGCCGACCGCCGGAGGCCGCGACGACGCGGCGUGCGACGAGGACGACAAGCGGCGCAUCCCGACGGGCCCGAACCCGCUGCACAACAGGUGA